rnacentral:rRNA from 1 species
GACGAACGCUGGCGGCGUGCCUAAUACAUGCAAGUCGAGCGAAGUUUUUCUGGUGCUUGCACUAGAAAAACUUAGCGGCGCACGGGUGAGUAACACGUAAAGAACCUGCCUCAUAGACUGGGACAACUAUUGGAAACGAUAGCUAAUACCGGAUAACAGUCUUUCUCGCAUGAGAGAUAUUUAAAAGUUGGUUAUGCCAACACUAUGAGAUGGCUUUGCGGUGCAUUAGCUAGUUGGUGGGGUAAAGGCCCACCAAGGCGACGAUGCAUAGCCGACCUGAGAGGGGGAUCGGCCACACUGGGACUGAGACACGGCCCAGACUCCUACGGGAGGCAGCAGUAGGGAAUCUUCCGCAAUGGGCGAAAGCCUGACGGAGCAACGCCGCGUGAGUGAAGAAGGAUUUCGGUUCGUAAAGCUCUGUUGUUAGGGAAGAAUGGAUAUGUAGUAACUAUACAUGUAAGAGACGGUACCUAACCAGAAAGCCACGGCUAACUACGUG